CGUAAUUGAUUAAUUUUAUUUUAAACGGGUGAUGCUGAAUUACAAGUGUGAAUUAUAAUUAAUAUUCCGUGUGUACCAAUUCGUUAAAAUGUACGGCUCAUCGGACACUCAACACGGAUCUACCACCAACCAUCCAAUAAAAGAAGGGUGGCGAUUUAGACAGACUACUUGGUAGCUGAUUAGGUAGGCUGGUACACGAAGAACGUUCGUCAUUUCUAUAUUUUAUUAGUGGGUCCUGUUUAAUAAUUUCUCCGGUAACAAAAGAGAAUCCAGUACGCGCCUGCCGGUAAACGCGGUACCUA